rnacentral:rRNA from 1 species
UACGUAGGGUGCGAGCGUUAAUCGGAAUUACUGGGCGUAAAGCGUGCGCAGGCGGUUCGUUGUGUCGGCGGUGAAAGCCCCGGGCUCAACCUGGGAAUGGCCGUUGAAACUGGCGAACUGGAGUGUGGCAGAGGUGGGUGGAAUUCCCGGUGUAGCGGUGAAAUGCGUAGAGAUCGGGAAGAACAUCGGUGGCGAAAGCGCUCUACUGGACCGCAACUGACACUCAGGGACGAGAGCUAGGGGAGCGAAUGGG